rnacentral:rRNA from 1 species
UACGUAGGGGGCAAGCGUUGUCCGGAAUCAUUGGGCGUAAAGCGCGCGUAGGUGGCUUCGUAAGUCCGUUGUGAAAGUCAAAGGCUCAACCUUUGAAAGCCGAUGGAUACUGUGAAGCUAGAGUACGGAAGAGGCGAGUGGAAUUCCUGGUGUAGCGGUGGAAUGCGCAGAUAUCAGGAGGAGCACCAAUAGCGAAGGCAGCUCGCUGGGACGUUACUGACACUGAGGCGCGAAAGCGUGGGGAGCGAACAGG